rnacentral:rRNA from 1 species
UGGGGAAUAUUGGGCAAUGGACGCAAGUCUGACCCAGCGACGCCGCGUGCGGGAUGAAGGCCUUCGGGUUGUAAACCGCUUUCAGCAGGGAAGAAACACCGGCUCUAACACAGUCCGGGAAUGACGGUACCUGCAAAAGAAGCACCGGCUAACUAUGUGCCAGCAGCCGCGGUAAUACAUAGGGUGCAAGCGUUGUCCGGAAUUAUUGGGCGUAAAGAGCUCGUAGGUGGUUCGUCACGUCGGAUGUGAAAAUCUGGGGCUCAACCCCAGACCUGCAUUCGAUACGAGCGAGCUAGAGUUUGGUAGGGGAGACUGGAAUUCCUGGUGUAGCGGUGGAAUGCGCAGAUAUCAGGAGGAACACCAAUGGCGAAGGCAGGUCUCUGGGCCAAUACUGACACUGAGGAGCGAGAGCGUGGGGAGCGAACAGG